rnacentral:rRNA from 1 species
AACACGACUCUCGGCAAUGGAUAUCUCGGCUCUUACAUCGAUGAAGAGCGCAGCGAAAUGCGAUACGUGGUGCGAAUUGCAGAAUCCCGUGAACCAUCGAGUCUUUGAACGCAAGUUGCGCCCGAGGCCACCCGGCCAAGGGCACGUCUGCUUGGGCGUCAAGC